rnacentral:rRNA from 1 species
AUUGAACGCUGGCGGCAGGCCUAACACAUGCAAGUCGAGCGAGUGGCGGACGGGUGAGUAAUGUAUGGGGACUGCCCGAUAGAGGGGGAUAACUACUGGAAACGGUAGCUAAUACCGCAUACUAUCGGAUAACCCAAAUGGGAUUAGCUAGUAGGUGUGGUAAUGGCUGACCUAGGCGACGAUCCCUAGCGGGGCUGAGAGGAUGAACAGCGACACUGGGACUGAUGCGAGGCCCAGACGCCCACGGAGGCAGCAGUGGGAGAUAUUGGACAAUGGGCGCAAUGCGGAGACGGCCGUGCCGCGUGUAUGAAGAAGGGCAUGGGGGUGUAAAGUAUGUUCAGUCGGGAGGCGGUAGCGGCAGAAGAAGCACCGGCUAACUCCGUGCCAGCAGCCGCGGUAAUAC